AAGGACAGGAUUCAGAGAGUUUCCGGGUUGGUGAACACAUGGAGAUAUUGGGAAAGUGGCACGCUUGGAGAGCAUGGAAGCUUCUCGUCCUUUCUCCAUACCUUGCUCUGUGCAUCUCUUCCGUCUGGCUCUUCCUGAAUUAUAUCCUUUCAUAUUAAACUGGUAAUCUAGAAACACUGCUCAACAGGAAGCCCUGCAGUCGAGUCACUUCUCAAGGUCAAGCUGACUAUAUAUUACUAAGAGUCUGCCCCCUCAGGAAUAGCCUCAUAAUUUAAUUGAUCACUGCAAGCUGGACAUUCAUCCAAGACAAGCAAAUGCUGCCGUGUCAUUGAAGAUUGGGUCACUGACUAGGAUAUGUAUCCUGAAAUAUGAAAAUGGAGCAAUGGAGUCAUGAGCCAAGGAAUGUGCACGGCCUCUAGAAGCUGGAAAGGCAACCACAGAAGAUGAAUACAGAACCCAUGCAUUUGAUUACUAGGCCUUGCUGUCUUGGAUACCUAUAAAAGGAGAGCUCGUGGAAUUACUGGGCCAUCCUAAGGAAAAACAGAAAAACUUGGCUGUUUGAGAUAUUCUAGGCAUUUAUACAAUACAAACAAUAACAUACUGGGUAAACAACAAGUGUUGGAGAGGAUGUGGAGAAACAGGAACCCUCAUACACAGCUGGUGGGAACGCAAACUGGUGCAGCCUCUAUGGAAAACGGUAUGGAGAUUCCUCAAAGAAUUAAAAAUAGAGAUGUCCUAUGACCCAGCCAUCCCACUACUGGGAAUCUAUCCAACGAACCUGAAAUCAACAAUCCAAAGAGGCUUAUGUACCCCUAUGUUCAUUGCAGCAUUAUUCACCAUAGCCAAGAAGUGGAAGCAACCUAAGUGUCCCUCGACUGAUGAUUGGAUCAAGAAAAUGUGGUAUAUAUACAAUGGAAUACUACUCAGCCAUAAAAAAAGACAAAAUCGUCCCAUUUGCAACAACAUGGAUGGGCCUGGAGCGUAUUAUGUUAAGUGAAGUAAGCCAGAAAGAGAAAGACAAACACUGUAUGAUCUCACUCAUAUGUGGAAUA